rnacentral:rRNA from 1 species
CCGGCGCACGGGUGCGUAACGCGUAUGCAACCUACCUUUUACAGAGGGAUAGCCCAGAGAAAUUUGGAUUAAUACCUCAUGGUAUAAUUGAAUCGCAUGGUUUAAUUAUUAAAGUUCCAACGGUAAAAGAUGGGCAUGCGUCCUAUUAGCUAGAUGGUAAGGUAACGGCUUACCAUGGCUACGAUAGGUAGGGGUCCUGAGAGGGAGAUCCCCCACACUGGUACUGAGACACGGACCAGACUCCUACGGGAGGCAGCAGUGAGGAAUAUUGGACAAUGGGCGCAAGCCUGAUCCAGCCAUGCCGCGUGCAGGAAGACGCAUCUAUGGUGUGUAAACUGCUUUUGUACGGGAAGAAACACUCCCUCGUGAGGGAGCUUGACGGUACCGUAAGAAUAAGGAUCGGCUAACUCCGUGCCAGCAGCCGCGGUAAUACGGAGGAUCCAAGCGUUAUCCGGAAUCAUUGGGUUUAAAGGGUCCGUAGGCGGUUUGGUAAGUCAGUGGUGAAAGCCCAUCGCUUAACGAUGGAACGGCCAUUGAUACUGCCAGACUUGAAUUACUAGGAAGUAACUAGAAUAUGUAGUGUAGCGGUGAAAUGCUUAGAUAUUACAUGGAAUACCAAUCGCGAAGGCAGGUUACUACUAGUGGAUUGACGCUGAUGGACGAAAGCGUGGGGAGCGAACAGGAUUAGAUACCCUGGUAGUCCACGCCGUAAACGAUGGAUACUAGCUGUUCGGAGUAAUCUGAGUGGCUAAGCGAAAGUGAUAAGUAUCCCACCUGGGGAGUACGUUCGCAAGAAUGAAACUCAAAGGAAUUGACGGGGGCCCGCACAAGCGGU